GAUGAACGCUGGCGGCGUGCCUAAUACAUGCAAGUCGAGCGAACAGACGAGGAGCUUGCUCCCCUGAUGUUAGCGGCGGACGGGUGAGUAACACGUGGAUAACCUACCUAUAAGACUGGGAUAACUUCGGGAAACCGGAGCUAAUACCGGAUAACAUGUUGAACCGCAUGGUUCAACAGUGAAAGACGGUCUUGCUGUCACUUAUAGAUGGAUCCGCGCCGCAUUAGCUAGUUGGUAAGGUAACGGCUUACCAAGGCAACGAUGCGUAGCCGACCUGAGAGGGUGAUCGGCCACACUGGAACUGAGACACGGUCCAGACUCCUACGGGAGGCAGCAGUAGGGAAUCUUCCGCAAUGGGCGAAAGCCUGACGGAGCAACGCCGCGUGAGUGAAGAAGGUCUUCGGAUCGUAAAGCUCUGUUAUUAGGGAAGAACAAAUGUGUAUGUAACUAUGCACGUCUUGACGGUACCUAAUCAGAAAGCCACGGCUAACUACGUG
rnacentral:rRNA from 1 species